rnacentral:rRNA from 1 species
AUUGCCUCAGUUAACGGCGAAGUGAAGCGGCAACAGCUCAAAUUUGAAAUCUGGCCCUCUCAGGGUCCGAGUUGUAAUUUGGAGAAGAUGCUUCGGGUGUGGCCCCGGUCUAAGUUCCUUGGAACAGGACGUCACAGAGGGUGAGAAUCCCGUACGUGGCCGGUGGCCGCGCCCAUGUGAAGCUCUUUCGACGAGUCGAGUUGUUUGGGAAUGCAGCUCAAAAUGGGUGGUAUAUUUCAUCUAAAGCUAAAUAUUGGCCAGAGACCGAUAGCGCACAAGUAGAGUGAUCGAAAGAUGAAAAGCACUUUGGAAAGAGAGUUAAACAGUACGUGAAAUUGUUGAAAGGGAAGCGCUUGCAACCAGACUUGCGCGCGGCCGAUCAUCCGGUGCUCGCACCGGUGCACUCGACCGCGCGCAGGCCAGCAUCGGUUUGGGCGGUUGGAUAAAGGCCCCAGGAAUGUGGCUCUCUUCGGGGAGUGUUAUAGCCUGGGGCGCAAUGCAGCCCGCCCGGACCGAGGACCGCGCUUCGGCUAGGAUGCUGGCGUAAUGGUUGUCAGCGACCCGUCUUGAAACACGGACCAAGGAGUCUAACAUCUAUGCGAGUGUUUGGGUGCUAAACCCAUACGCGUAAUGAAAGUGAACGGAGGUGAGAACCCUUAAGGGUGCAUCAUCGACCGAUCCUGAUGUCUUCGGAUGGAUUUGAGUAAGAGCAUAGCUGUUGGGACCCGAAAGAUGGUGAACUAUGCCUGAAUAGGGUGAAGCCAGAGGAAACUCUGGUGGAGGCUCGCAGCGGUUUCUGACGUGCAAAUCGAUCGUCAAAUUUGGGCAUAGGGGCGAAAGACUAAUCGAACCAUCU